CAUGUCUCAGAAUAACUCAUUUUACGGGGAAUCUGCGAAUGGCUCAUUACAACAGUUAUAAUUUACAUGGUGGUCACUUGUUAGUUGGAUAACUGUGGUAAUUCUAGAGCUAAUACAUGCGUAAAAACUCGACUUUCGGGAAGAGUUGUAUUUAUUAGAUACAGAACCAUCCCCUUCGGGGUUUUGGAUGAUCCAUAAUAAAUGAACGAAGCGUAUGGUUAGAACCGACGCUGCACCAUUCAAGUUUCUGACCUAUCAGCUUUCGAUGGUAGGGUAUUGGCCUACCAUGGCUUUGACGGGUAACGGAGAAUUAGGGUUCGAUUCCGGAGAGGGAGCCCGAGAAACGGCUACCACAUCUAAGGAAGGCAGCAGGCACGCAAAUUACCCAAUCCUGUUACAGGGAGGUAGUGACAAGAAAUAAUUGUGCUGGCCACAUUGUGGUUACGCAUCAAGAAUGAAUAGCAUGUAAAUAUCGCUAAUACUAUCAAUUGGAGGGCAAGUCUGGUGCCAGCAGCCGCGGUAAUUCCAGCUCCAUUAGUGUAUAUUAAAGUUGUUGCGGUUAAAAAGCUCGUAGUUGGAUUUCUGUCGGGGAUGGCCGGUCCGGUCUAAGACUGUGUAUCAGGUCCAGCCUUGGCAUCCUCGUAUUCUUGCGAUCAUUAAUUUGGUUGUGGGUGUGCGACUUUUACUUUGAGGAAAUUAGAGUGUUCACGGCAGGCUUUCGCCCUGAAUAUAUUAGCAUGGAAUAAUAAAACAGGACCUUGGUACUAUUUUGUUGGUUUCUAGAACUAGGGUAAUGAUUAAUAGGGACAAUUGGGGGCAUUCGUAUUGACGUGUCAGAGGUGGAAUUCUUGGAUUACGUUACGACGAACUACUGCGAAAGCAUUUGCCAAGGAUGUUUUCAUUGAUCAAGAAC
rnacentral:rRNA from 1 species